CACGAACCGGACAAACGUUAUUCGGAAUCACUGGGCUUAAAGAGUCCGUAGGCGGCUAUGUAGGUGAGGUGUGAAAUCCCACGGCUCAACCGUGGAACUGCGCUUCAAACCAUAUGGCUAGAGGGAGAUAGAGGAAAGCGGAACUGAUGGUGGAGCGGUGAAAUGCGUUGAUAUCAUCAGGAACACCGGUGGCGAAAGCGGCUUUCUGGGUCUCUUCUGACGCUGAGGGACGAAAGCUAGGGGAGCGAACGGG
rnacentral:rRNA from 1 species